ensembl:lincRNA 4930431L21Rik RIKEN cDNA 4930431L21 gene
ACGUUCUUUGUUGGUUCCUUUCGGAUUUUGACUGUUUUGUUUUGAAACAGUCUUUAUAUUAUGUUUAUAAGUAUCGCUAUGUUAUCUUGGUAAUGCAGAAACAUUGGGAGGCAUCUUUGAGGUGAUGGAAACUGUCUUGAGGAGCUAAGGUCCCAGCAAAAUCACAAGUCACCAAAGCCACCCCAAGCUGCUAGCUCUCUGGUCUUGUUUUGUGAAUUUGAAGAAUGAAAAUCACGGGCCAAGGAGGGAGAGUUAUUUUGAAUGUGGGGAUCAGAGGAUGCUGAAGAGCAGUUUUGUCCAAAAAGAACAUCAUCUCCAGCGGAGAAAGGGCAGCUCUGAGCCUCGGGAGAGACUCCAUUGUAAACUCUCAGUCUACAUACUUGGCUCACAAUGAAAGAAUCCAAUAUGGAGCAACAAGAAGGAACUCAGGCCCUGCACCAGUCAAGUGUGUACUCAUGCUUUUAGUCAGUGUGUCCUAGGAAACAUAUAACCUGGUGCUUCUUUAGGACUCUGGUGCUCCUGAAGCCCCACAAGUUCCCUCUGGGAGAUGAAUGCUUUCAGACAAGACUGCAACCCUACCCUCUCUUCCAGGCCCCUGACUGACAUAAUCAGAAUGGUCACACC